GUCGGAAUCGCUAGUAAUCGCAAAUCAGAAUGUUGCGGUGAAUACGUUCCCGGGCCUUGUACACACCGCCCGUCACACCAUGGGAGUGGGUUGCACCAGAAGUAGAUAGCUUAACCUUCGGGAGGGCGUUUACCACGGUGUGAUUCAUGACUGGGGUGAAGUCGUAACAAGGUAACCCUAGGGGAACCUGGGGUUGGAUCACCUCCUUA
rnacentral:rRNA from 1 species